rnacentral:rRNA from 1 species
UACGGAGGGAGCUAGCGUUGUUCGGAAUUACUGGGCGUAAAGCGCACGUAGGCGGCUAUUCAAGUCGGGGGUGAAAGCCCGGGGCUCAACCCCGGAACUGCCCUCGAAACUAGAUAGCUAGAAUCUUGGAGAGGCGAGUGGAAUUCCGAGUGUAGAGGUGAAAUUCGUAGAUAUUCGGAAGAAUACCAGUGGCGAAGGCGACUCGCUGGACAAGUAUUGACGCUGAGGUGCGAAAGCGUGGGGAGCAAACAGGG